GGCCCCCAGAGGAGUGCGACGGGCUUCAGGUUCCGUGCCGCCGGGAAAUUCUGUUACUUUAGUUUGGUUGGUUUAGAGGACUCGCGAAAGAAGUGAGGCGAUGUUUAAAGACAAAGAUCACGCGUCGCCAGAGGAGAAAAAAUUGAUUGUUUUUCUGCCUGACAACAUUUUCCUGGACUAACCAAGCCAAAAGCAUGUCUUCCUCCUCUGAACCUGAACAGCACCAACGACCCUAGGAUCCAUGAGGUUGACGUUAUGGGGCAAACAGCCUUUGAGACCACUGGGAAAGCAACUGUGCAGCCAGGCCACAUUUGAGCAUCUCAGCCCUGGAAGUACGUUUGAAGAACA